rnacentral:rRNA from 1 species
UAUGUGAUCGUCUCUCGCAUAUCAAUAAGCGGAGGAAAAGAAACUAACAAGGAUUCCCCUAGUAACGGCGAGUGAAGCGGGAAGAGCUCAAAUUUGAAAUCUUAAAGGGUUUCCCUUUACGAAUUGUAGUUUAAAGAAGUGUUUUCUGUUGAGGUUUUGGUAAAAGUUCUUUGGAAUAGGACAUCAUAGAGGGUGAGAAUCCCGUAUUUGACCUUUACUUUCAACUUUGUGAUACACUUUCAAAGAGUCGGAUUGUUUGGGAAUGCAGUCCAAAAUGGGUGGUAAAUUUCAUCUAAAGCUAAAUAUUGGCGAGAGACCGAUAGCGAACAAGUACCGUGAGGGAAAGAUGAAAAGAACUUUGAAAAGAGAGUUAAACAGUACGUGAAAUUGUCAAAAGGGAAGCGUUUGAUACCAGUGUUGUUUUUCUGAAAAUCAAUUAAAGAACUGUUUAUGCUAAGUUGUUUAGACUUUAUCAGCUAACUGUUUAGUUUUGAGCUUUUCUCUAAUGCACUUUUCAGUUAACAAGUCAACAUCAAUUUCUUUUGCUGUAAAAAAGCUUGAGGAAGGUGGCUUGAGAUUCGUCUUAAGUGUUUAUAGCCUCUUGCCUAUGCAGUCGGAGAGAUUGAGGUCUGCAGCGUAGAUCCUUCGGGGCUAAACGCAUUUGUGCUAAGUUAUAGCAUUUUAUAGACAACUUGUUGACUAUGAUUUGUCUUGUAGCUUACUCGCUUAUGUUAUUUUACCUACGCUUAGGAUGUUGAGUAGCGACAUACGCAC